AUUGAACGCUGGCGGCAGGCUUAACACAUGCAAGUCGAGCGAGCGGCGGACGGGUGAGCAAGGUCGGGGAAACUGCCUGAUGGAGGGGGAUAACCACUGGAAACGGUAAAUAAUACCGCAUACCAUCAGAGGUGCCCAGAUGGGAUUAGCCAGUAGGUGGGGUAAUGGCUCACCUAGGCGACGCUCCCUAGCUGGUCUGAGAGGAUGACCCGCCACACUGGAACUUGGACACGGUCCAGACUCCUACGGGAGGCAGCGUUGGGGAAUAUUGCACAAUGGGCGCAAGCCUGAUGCAGCCAGGCCGCGUGUGUUAAGAAGGCCUUCGGGUUGUAAAGCACUUUCGGCGAGGAGGCGUUACUCGCAGAAGAAGCACCGGCUAACUCCGUGCCAGCAGCCGCGGUAAUAC
rnacentral:rRNA from 1 species